rnacentral:tRNA from 1 species
GUCUCUGUGGCGCAAUCGGUUAGCGCGUUCGGCUGUUAACUGAAAGGUUCGUGGUUCGAGUCUACGCAGGGACG